rnacentral:tRNA from 1 species
GGAGAAGUACUCAAGAGGCUGAAGAGGACGGUUUGCUAAACCGUUAGGCUGGGUUUUUCUGGUGCGUGGGUUCGAAUCCCACCUUCUCCGCCA